rnacentral:rRNA from 1 species
GACAGAGGGUGCAAACGUUGUUCGGAAUUACUGGGCGUAAAGCGCGUGUAGGCGGCCGAGUAAGUCGGGUGUGAAAGCCCGGGCUCAACCUUGGGAAGUGCACUCGAAAACUGGCAACGGCUGGAGUCGUCGGAGAGGGAAGUGGAAUUCUGGGUGAUA